rfam:Schistocephalus solidus strain NST_G2 genome assembly, scaffold: SSLN_scaffold0001965
UCCAGCUAUGGCGAUAUGGUCCCCUCAACAAUAAUGGGCAAGAUUGUUGGUGGACUGUGUUCCCUGUCUGGUGUGCUUGUGAUCGCACUUCCGGUCCCAGUCAUUGUCUCCAAC